AUUGAACGCUGGCGUCAGGCCUAACACAUGCAAGUCGAACGGUAACAGGAAACAGCUUGCUGUUUCGCUGACGAGUGGCGGACGGGUGAGUAAUGUCUGGGAAACUGCCUGAUGGAGGGGGAUAACUACUGGAAACGGUAGCUAAUACCGCAUAACGUCGCAAGACCAAAGAGGGGGACCCUCGGGCCUCUUGCCAUCGGAUGUGCCCAGAUGGGAUUAGCUUGUUGGUGGGGUAACGGCUCACCAAGGCGACGAUCCCUAGCUGGUCUGAGAGGAUGAUCAGCCACACUGGAACUGAGACACGGUCCAGACUCCUACGGGAGGCAGCAGUGGGGAAUAUUGCACAAUGGGCGCAAGCCUGAUGCAGCCAUGCCGCGUGUAUGAAGAAGGCCUUCGGGUUGUAAAGUACUUUCAGCUGGGAGGAAGGGAGUAAAGUUAAUACCUUUGCUCAUUGACGUUACCCGAAGAAGAAGCACCGGCUAACUCCGUG
rnacentral:rRNA from 1 species